AUCUUUUUGUAACUCAUAAGCAUGAUGACUGAGGUUUCACACACAUGUAUGAAAUGUGCCUCCCUCAAACUG
ensembl:snoRNA